rnacentral:rRNA from 1 species
AUUGAACGCUGGCGGCAUGCCUUACACAUGCAAGUCGAACGGUAACGGGUCCUUCGGGAUGCCGACGAGUGGCGAACGGGUGAGUAAUAUAUCGGAACGUGCCCAGUAGUGGGGGAUAACUGCUCGAAAGAGCAGCUAAUACCGCAUACGACCUGAGGGUGAAAGGGGGGGAUCGCAAGACCUCUCGCUAUUGGAGCGGCCGAUAUCAGAUUAGCUAGUUGGUGGGGUAAAGGCCUACCAAGGCAACGAUCUGUAGUUGGUCUGAGAGGACGACCAGCCACACUGGGACUGAGACACGGCCCAGACUCCUACGGGAGGCAGCAGUGGGGAAUUUUGGACAAUGGGCGCAAGCCUGAUCCAGCAAUGCCGCGUGCAGGAAGAAGGCCUUCGGGUUGUAAACUGCUUUUGUCAGGGAAGAAAUCUUCUGGGCUAAUACCCCGGGAGGAUGACGGUACCUGAAGAAUAAGCACCGGCUAACUACGUGCCAGCAGCCGCGGUAAUACGUAGGGUGCGAGCGUUAAUCGGAAUUACUGGGCGUAAAGCGUGCGCAGGCGGCUUUGCAAGACAGAUGUGAAAUCCCCGGGCUCAACCUGGGAACUGCAUUUGUGACUGCAAGGCUAGAGUACGGCAGAGGGGGAUGGAAUUCCGCGUGUAGCAGUGAAAUGCGUAGAUAUGCGGAGGAACACCAAUGGCGAAGGCAAUCCCCUGGGCCUGUACUGACGCUCAUGCACGAAAGCGUGGGGAGCAAACAGGGUUAGAUACCCCUGGUAGUCCACGCCCUAAACGAUGUCAACUGGUUGUUGGACGGCUUGCUGUUCAGUAACGAAGCUAACGCGUGAAGUUGACCGCCUGGGGAGUACGGCCGCAAGGUUGAAACUCAAAGGAGUUGACGGGGACCCGCACAAGCGGUGGAUGAUGUGGUUUAAUUCGAUGCAACGCGAAAAACCUUACCUACCCUUGACAUGUCAAGAAUUCUGCAGAGAUGUGGAAGUGCUCGAAAGAGAACUUGAACACAGGUGCUGCAUGGCCGUCGUCAGCUCGUGUCGUGAGAUGUUGGGUUAAGUCCCGCAACGAGCGCAACCCUUGUCAUUAGUUGCUACGCAAGAGCACUCUAAUGAGACUGCCGGUGACAAACCGGAGGAAGGUGGGGAUGACGUCAGGUCCUCAUGGCCCUUAUGGGUAGGGCUACACACGUCAUACAAUGGCCGGUACAGAGGGCUGCCAACCCGCGAGGGGGAGCCAAUCCCAGAAAACCGGUCGUAGUCCGGAUCGUAGUCUGCAACUCGACUGCGUGAAGUCGGAAUCGCUAGUAAUCGCGGAUCAGCUUGCCGCGGUGAAUACGUUCCCGGGUCU